UAGUUCUGAUAUCACUGUCCUAAGUGAAAUUUCAAGUUUCUGGUCCUACAACAUGGUUUGAAAUAUCUGGUUAAUAAGGAUGAACUCAAGCUUCAUAUAAAAUAUCUGGUCCUACAUGUAUCAAGCUCUAUUUCUGGAAAAGAGCAUAUAAAAGCAGCCUGUUCUGACCUAGAAAAAAUACAAAAACUUAGGAAAGAAGCUGAAUUCCUGGAAGCAUCUUUCAGGGCGAAGGCUGAUUCUUUACAGCAGGGAGUUGGUGGUGGUCAGUCUCAAACACAAGUUGGUGAUGAUCAAGAAUUUACGAAAGGAAAAAGCAGAAAGAAUGCAAAUGCAAGGGUGGAUAGGAGCAAAAGAAAUGUUGGAAAAUCUCGUGGAUUCUUGGACAUCAUUAUACCUCGUGGUAGCAAAAAGUCUGACCUGGAGGCUGAUGAUAAUCAUGAUGAGCAGUCUCCACCAAAUGUAGGGAUCAUGGACCAAGAAUCCAGUGAAUUUCACCGGUUUGAGACUCUGAGAAAGGAGUUAAUGGAACUUGAGAAACGCGUUGAAAAUAGUACAUAUCAAUCAGAAAAUAACGAAAUAUUUUGUUCCUUUUCAUGUUGCUUCUGAGAAACUAUGAAGGAGUAACUAUAUUCUUUAACUUUCUGUUGGUUUUGGCUUAGUGUACACUUUUAGAUUUAACAUUUUAUAUUUGCUUUUGUAGGAUUUAGUAGUCAUUGAUGAUGGUGCUCGUUAUAGUGAUGCUGCUGGAUCUUUUCAGUUGUCCAGGAUUCAGAAGAAGGAAAAUAUCAUAGAGAAAUCUUUAGGCAAAUUAAAAAAAACAGGAAUGGUAUGUUUUAUUCUAGAGGUGGUUCUUUAAUGUGAACAUUAUCCUUAUUUAUUUGGUUUGAGUUCAUCUGUCACAUUAAUCAAUGAAGCUUGAGUAAUUAUUUUUUGUUAA